GGACACCUUAUUUGUGAAGUAGGGAUAAUUCUUGUAUCUACCUCACAGAGCUAUUGUGAGAUUUGAAUGAGAUAAUGCAGUAAUGCAUGCAAAUGACUUGGUGUAGUGUCUGGCACAUAGCAUACACCUGACAGGUGACAGCUGUUAUUAUUAUUAUUGUAUCUUAUGAUCACUCACCUGCACCUGAAGGCAAAUCCACAGGGACUACUGAAGGAUGGCAGGAGAAUUCCGGCGCUCCUCUCCACAGGACCAGCUGGCAGGAGUCCUGGUUUGCCGACCUACCACUAUGUAUUAAGAAUCUACUCUGGGGGCUGGCCUGGUGGUGCAGUGGUUAAGUGCACACAUUCCGCUUCGGCGGCCCGGGGUUUGCUGGUUUGGAUCCCAGGUGCGGACAUGGCACCACUUGGCAAGCCAUGCUGUGGUAGGUGUCCCACAUAUAAAGUAGAGGAAGAUGGGCAUGGAUGUUAGCUCAGGGCCAGUCUUCCUCAGCAAAGAGAGAAGGAUUGGCAGCAGUUAGCUCAGGGCUAAUCUUCCUCAAAGAAAAAAAAAAGAAUCUACUCUGACCUAAUACUUUGCUAUGCACUAAAGACACCUUAAUAGAUAAAGACAAAAAUGUCCAGUCUUGGGGAUGGGGGAGAUAAGCAUGUUAACCCAAGAAAACAAUACUGUAUCUUAGGUGCUAUGGUCGGUGCUUAGAUAGAAGGAGCUCCAGAUAUGGUGGAGCAUAAAAUGGCCGAGUCAGUAAUGCUUCUGAGCUGAGGGGUCCAGAACAGGUUUUCAGGCAGAGGGAAUACUUGAGCAAUGACAUAGAGGGGAGAAAUACCACAUUUUAUUGGGAAUAUCUUCUCCAGUUUGGAGUUGACAGCUAGGAACAUGGACAGGGCAUCUGCAGAGAAUAUCUUUCUUAUGGAGAAGGCUAGACGGGCAAGGUUUGCUUGCUCUUCCUAGAAUUCAUUUAGGAAAGCCCUUCCUCCAGUUAUCUGAGUGGUUCUCGCUCUUCCUCUCCUUCAAGUCUUUGUUCAAUGGCCACUUUGCCAGGGAGGCCUUCCCUGACCAUCCUGUUCUGAAUGGCAAUCUGCCCUGCCCUCCACAGGUCUACACCCCUUCCUUCAACUUGCUUUAUUUUUCUCCCCAGCACUUAUUGCCAUCUAACAUUCCAUAUAUUUUAUUUUAAUUUUUGUUUUCUCUCCUACUACCUGAAUGUAAGCUCCAUGAAUAUAGAGAUUUUUGUCCCUUUUAUUCACUACUGUAUCCUUAGUGCCUGAACAGCCUAGCAUGUAGUGAGGACUCAAGAAAUAUUUGUCCCAUGGGUACUCAUCCCUUAAUUCAUGCAGGAAACAUAUUUGGCCAUCUAUAAAAUGGGCCAGGUAUGGUGCUGGUGAGCUGUAGCCAGUGAUCCCCAAAUGCCGAUUCAUAGACUGUCUGCAUCAGAAUUAAUUUAGGGUACUUGUUACAUAGACAGAUUCUGGAAUCCCACUCAAAACCCAGUGAAUUAGAAUCUCCGUAGGUUGAUGCUGCAUUUUAGCAAAGAUGCCUGGUGAUUUGAUGUGCACCAAAGUUAGAGAGCACAGGUGGACAAUCUGGGAAACAAGUCAUGCUUCCUUCAUCAAUGAUAGUCUGUAAGGGAAUGGAGCAUCAGGAAGGAACACAAGGAUGCCAGUCGGGAGGCCAUUUUAUAGUCUAGCUCUGAAACAAAGGUGACUUUGGCUGGAGUUGAGGCAUUUGAGAUGGAGAGAAGUGGAUGGACUCAGAGGAUAUUCAGGAGCUAAGAUUUUGGAGAUGGAUUGCAUAUGGUGGGUGAGGGAAAGAAGUUGUCAGGAAUGACCUCUAGGUUCCAGGCUUGUCCAGAUGCAUAGAUGGAGGUGUUAUCCUUCAGAUAAGGCACCCUGGAAGAAGACCUAGUUUGAGGAGGGGGUUAAGAUUUUGAGUUUAGUCUUAUAUAUGCUGAACAUAAGGUGUUUUCGGCAAUUGGAGGGGAAGUAUAAAAUCAACAGCUAUGUGGCUGGGCCAGGAGAUUGCCAAAACCAGUCAUCUGAAAACAUGAUGCUCAGAAUGGAAGCAGUGGACUUUCAACUAAGCAAGAAAACUGAGAUCAAAGGAGUUAACGUGGGCUACCUCAGUGUGUUUGUCUCCUUAAGAAAUGCACAAGCAUAUAUAGUUUCCACUGUGAGAGGCAAAUAAAGUAAUGGAAGCUAAAGUAAAAUUACA
rnacentral:lncRNA from 1 species